AUCAACGCAAUGAUGUGAAGUAGUAGGCGGCCAUACCGAUCCAGAGAGGUGCCGGUUGGUGCAAGGUAUCCGAAGAGUAUGCUGCCGAACUCGUCACGGAGCGGCUGCGCAGAAGUUUUUCAGUAAGCGCAGACGGGCGGCCGCCCGUUACAGCGGCGGGGAUAUGUCUGUAUCCCCUAUAAGAGCAUUCUUUUUAGAAUGAAUGAAGAGUGGUACCGCGGAAGCCUUCCCCUUUCGUCUCUUCU
rfam:Cloacibacillus evryensis DSM 19522 genomic scaffold CloevDRAFT_Scaffold1.1, whole genome shotgun sequence.